GCGCGCGGGGUUGGCUGCCGGGAGGUCGACGCUAGUGCGGUCCCCCGCGCGGCGGAGGGGCCCGGGCCGCGGUAUCUGCGCACUGAGACGUCGGCGGAAGGCUAGAGGCCGUGCUCUCGCCCCCGCAGAAGGCCACCACUCCUUGAGAAGGCCGGAGGGACAAAGCACCGGGCCUGCGCCGGGGGCAUUCAAGAAGGAAGCCAGGCCCGACCGGGGGUGGCGCACGCUUCCCGAACCCCAGGCCCACGGCCCGGUUCCGCGCGGGCAGUUGGCGCCCCCUCGGACAGGGACUGAGAAACGGAAAUACUACCAUCCUCCAGCCAAUCUGUUGGGAGGACUGCUUGCAGAGGACUCGUGCUCCAGAUGUUGCACUAGAGGCGCUGCAAGUGUGAGCAGCAGGUAGAUGAAACUCAAGAGAAAAGGUGUGGAUAAAUGAAACUAGCCCAUGAUGAACCUGUUUUCUCCGUGACCACAAUAUUAACCAGGAUGAAUGGCGGUGGCAGUGGGCCUGCAUCACAGGUUGCAGCAGAUGUUCUCAAUAUUUCUAUUAAAAUUUCCUUAUUUCCAUAUGCAAGAGGAGCCCCAGAGCUGCAUCCUUAUGGUAGCUACCAUGCCGUGAUGUAAGCUGCCAUUCACUGGGGAGCUUUGGCAAUAGAAUUGGCUAGAUCAGGAAGCCUAUGUCAACUAUGGAACAACAACUUGCAGCUCAUCUCUAUUGAUGGUGAAACAGUCGCAAAUGGAAUUCCAAGAAACAUUCUAUCAUCAGGUAUUAUCUACUGCUGUCUGCAGAAUUCAGACAUGGAGGGCUCAAUGGUGUCCCCUGGUCUUUGGAACAUUCUGUAUUUUAAUGAUCAUGGUAAGUACUUGGAAAAUAUGCAGCAAAUAUAGAGAUGUUGGUGUUUCAGUAGAAUUAAUGACCACAUCUGAUU
rnacentral:lncRNA from 1 species